GCCAAGUGCUCUUGCACCACCUAGCUUCAGUGCUGAGUCAUCGAUAUGUGCAUCAGACCUAAAGGGGGGAGAAGAGGAGGGACAAGAGCCAGUGAGUCUAUCCCCGGGACCUGUUCUCAGGAUAGAGGAAGAGCUGCGCAAGUUGGAGGAGGCCCGCAGGCAGGCCGAGGAAAGGAGGAGAGAGGAAGACCGGAAAUUGAAGGAAAGGUUGCUCGAACUCGAGCAGAAAAAGCGAGAGGAAGAAGAAAAGAAUAAGGCUGCAGAGUUGAAGCGAAAGGAGAAUGAGAGACGACGGAAGAAGCUGCUUGAGGCACGGAGGAGGAUGCACGAUAACACGGGAAACUCGC